UACCAGCCCCCUGAGUGGUAGGGACGAUUAUUUGGCCUAAAGCGUCCGUAGCCGGCUUAAUAAGUCUCUCGUUAAAUCCAACGGCUCAAUCGUUGGGCUGCGAAAGAUACUGUUAGGCUAGAGGACGGGAGAGGUCGACGGUAUUCUUGGGGUAGGGGUGAAAUCCUAUAAUCCCAAGAGGACCACCAGUGGCGAAGGCGGUCGACUAGAACGUGCCUGACGGUGAUGGACGAAAGCUAGGGGAGCAAACCGGAUUAGAUACCCGCGUA
rnacentral:rRNA from 1 species